rnacentral:rRNA from 1 species
CAGUCGCCGCGGGAAUACGUAGGGUGCGAGCGUUAAUCGGAAUUACUGGGCGUAAAGCGUGCGCAGGCGGUUGUGUAAGACAGGUGUGAAAUCCCCGGGCUUAACCUGGGAACUGCGCUUGUGACUGCACAGCUAGGGUAUGGCAGAGGGGGGUGGAAUUCCGCGUGUAGCAGUGAAAUGCGUAGAUAUGCGGAGGAACACCGAUGGCGAAGGCAAUCCCCUGGGCCUGCACUGACGCUCAUGCACGAAAGCGUGGGGAGCAAACAGGAUUAGAUACCCCGGUAGUCUCUGUCUCUUAUAC